UCGGUUCCGGUUCACGCCGAUACCUCCACUUCGGGAGGGCGACCCGGGGCC
rnacentral:ncRNA from 1 species